UUGGCUGGAGAGGAGAAGCCUCUGUAGCCGCCCAGUUGUCUGGAAACCACUAAGAUUCUAAAGGCUGCAGCGACAUCAACUCUAAAUUCCGGAUGAAGGACACUCUAUACCUGCCCUGCCCUGGAAGGAGGCAGAUCUACUCUCAAGUGCUCAGGGUGGCCACAAGUAAGCCCAAACAGAGGUGAUAAGGAGGCAGGCAGAGCAGCGAAGGGAUCGGAACAUCAGGAUUUAAAGACCCUAGGCUUGUUCUGGCCAAACCUGGGCUCUGGUGGCGGAGAGUUAGCUUCCUUCACUGGGGCAAAAUGCAGCCUAGCAGGCCUUCAGGGGCUGACCUGCAUGGAUUCUUCGAUGGUUGAUCCUUCCUCUGCUCUACCCCCCCCCAUCCCCUGGAGGCUGGCUCCAAGGAACCUGUACCUUUUGGCUCCGCUCCCUUCCUGAACCCAGCCCAGAUGGGAACAGUACAUCAAACAGGAAGUGCAACAACUCCAGAUUUGGAUGCCCCGCCCACAUCUGGAAAGACCUGCAAUACAGAGGAUCCAAUGCCAGAAUUCAGCCUCUUCCAGGAUUGCAGAACCAAUAUAAGUCCAGUGUUGUGGUUUACAUGUUGUGUAUAGAAACUAACUUAAUUCUUCGAGUUCAUGGAUAAUAAAGAAAAUCUAGCUGGG